AUUGAACGUUGGCGGCAGGCCUAACACAUGCAAGUCGAGCGAGCGGCGGACGGGUGUGCAAUGUCUGGGAAACUGCCUGAUGGAGGGGGAUAACUACUGGAAACGGUAGCUAAUACCGCAUACUAUCAGUUGUGCCCAGAUGGGAUUAGCUAGUAGGUGGGGUAACGGCCAACCUAGGCGACAAUCCCUAGCUGGUCUGAGAGGACGACCAGCCACGUUGGAACUGAGACACGGUCCAGACUCCUGCGAGAGGCAGCAGUAGGGAAUAUUGCACAAUGGGCGCAAGCCUGAUGCAGCCGUGGCGCGUGUAUGAAGAAGGCCUUCGGGUUGUAAAGUGCUUUCAGCGAGGAGGCGUUACCCGCAGAAGAAACACCGACUAGCUCCGUGCCAGCAGCCGCGGUAAUAC
rnacentral:rRNA from 1 species